rnacentral:rRNA from 1 species
GACGAACGCUGGCGGCGUGCCUAAUACAUGCAAGUUGAGCGCUGAAGGUUGGUACUUGUACCGACUGGAUGAGCAGCGAACGGGUGAGUAACGCGUGGGGAAUCUGCCUUUGAGCGGGGGACAACAUUUGGAAACGAAUGCUAAUACCGCAUAACAACUUUAAACACAAGUUUUAAGUUUGAAAGAUGCAAUUGCAUCACUCAAAGAUGAUCCCGCGUUGUAUUAGCUAGUUGGUGAGGUAAAGGCUCACCAAGGCGAUGAUACAUAGCCGACCCGAGAGGGUGUGAGGCCACAUUGGAACUGAGACACGGCCCAAACUCCUACGGGAGGCAGCAGUAGGGAAUCUUCGGCANNNGACGAAAGUCUGANCGAGCAACGCCGCGUGAGUGAAGAAGGUUUUCGGAUCGNAAAACUCUGUUGGUAGAGAAGAACGUUGGUGAGAGUGGAAAGCUCAUCAAGUGACGGUAACUACCCAGAAAGGGACGGCUAACUACGUGCCAGCCGCCGCCGUAA